rnacentral:rRNA from 1 species
AAGAUUAAGCCAUGCAUGUCUAAGCACAUGCCUUAAUACGGUGAAGCCGCGAAUAGCUCAUUACAACAGCCACCGUUUACUAGAAAAUCAGUAUCCUACUCGGAUAACUGUGGCAAUUCUAGAGCUAAUACGUGCGAAAAAGCUCGUUUCGCAAGAUUCGAGCGCAUUUAUUAGAAUACAAACCAAUCGGGCCCAUAAAGCCCGUAAUUUGGUGAAUCUGAAUAACUUUGCCGAUCGCACGGUCCUAGUACCGGCGACGUAUCUUUCAAGUGUCUGCCUUAUCAACUUUCGAUGGUAGGUUAUACGCCUACCAUGGUAGUAACGGGUAACGGAGAAUAAGGGUUCGACUCCGGAGAGGGAGCCUGAGAAACGGCUACCACAUCCAAGGAAGGCAGCAGGCGCGCAAAUUACCCACUUCCAGAACGGAGAGGUAGUGACGAAAAAUAACGAGACAGUCCUCUUCGAGGUCUGUCAUCGGAAUGGGUACAAUUUAAAUCCUUUAACGAGGAUCUAUUGGAGGGCAAGUCUGGUGCCAGCAGCCGCGGUAAUUCCAGCUCCAAUAGCGUAUAUUAAAGUUGUUGCGGUUAAAACGCUCGUAGUUGGAUCUGCGGCCUCGGAGAACGGUCCCCCGAAAGGGCGGUCACUGUUACUCCAAGCCUAAAUAUCUAGUCUACUCUACGGUGCUCUUAACCGAGUGCCUAGAGUGACUGGAACGUUUACUUUGAAAAAAUUAGAGUGCUUAAAGCAGGCGAAAUAGCCUGAAUAAGGUGCAUGGAAUAAAGGAAUAGGACCUCGGUUCUAUUUUGUUGGUUUUCGGAGCCCGAGGUAAUGAUUAAGAGGAACAGACGGGGGCAUUCGUAUUCCGGCGCUAGAGGUGAAAUUCUUGGACCGCCGGAAGACGGACGACUGCGAAAGCAUUUGCCAAGAAUGUUUUCAUUAAUCAAGAACGAAAGUUAGAGGUUCGAAGGCGAUCAGAUACCGCCCUAGUUCUAACCGUAAACGAUGACAACCAGCGAUUAGUCGGUGUUAAUAUACGACCCGACUAGCAGCUUCCGGGAAACCAAAGUUUUUCGUUUCCGGGGGAAGUAUGGUUGCAAAGCUGAAACUUAAAGGAAUUGACGGAAGGGCACCACCAGGAGUGGAGCCUGCGGCUUAAUUUGACUCAACACGGGAAAACUCACCCGGCCCGGACACCGUAAGGAUUGACAGACUGAGAGCUCUUUCUUAAUUCGGUGGGUGGUGGUGCAUGGCCGUUCUUAGUUGGUGGAGCGAUUUGUCUGGUUAAUUCCGAUAACGAACGAGACUCUGGCCUAUUAAAUAGUCGGUAUAUCCAGAAAAGUUUACCGUACUUCUUAGAGGGACAAACGGCGUCUAGCCGCGUGAAAUAGAGCAAUAACAGGUCUGUGAUGCCCUUAGAUGUCCGGGGCUGCACGCGCGCUACACUGAAAGAAUCAGUAUGCGCUUUAACCUAGUCCGGAAGGAUUGGGUAACCCGAGCAAAUUCUUUCGUGCUUGGGAUAGGGAAUUGCAAUUAUUUCCCUUAAACGAGGAAUUCCCAGUAAAUGCGGGUCAUAAGCUCGCGUUGAUUACGUCCCUGCCCUUUGUACACACCGCCCGUCGCUACUACCGAUUGGAUGACUUAGUGAGGUCUUAGGACCGACGUAAAGGAGCUUUCGCGAGUUCUUUUUCGUUGGAAAUUUGAUCGAACUACGUUAUCUAGAGGAAGUAAAAGUCGUAACAAGGUUUCCGUAGGUGAACCUGCGGAAGGAUCAUUACCAAGCUAGAAAAAGAAUGAAUGAAAGAACGGCGAUAUAUAUAGAAUAUAGAAUGAAUUCUAUUCGCUAUUCGUCGUAGGGACUACGGGCGGGAAAAUGGGCGAGGGGCUCUAGCGCGAAAGCCUCGGUCAGUUAGUCGCCACUAUGAAUGAAUGAAAUCCAGACUCACGUCGGGGGGGGUGGAUCGUUGCACACGCGUCAGUUGUAGCGGAGUUGGGAUACCUACCCCCGGCCUCUGCCCAUUUACGAUCGUAUAGCCGCGCGCGCGAGAUAUCUGCGAUUCAUUAUCUCUUACGUUCGGGAUCGAGACGGGCGUAAAGUAUAUAUAUAACCGGCUCGAUUCUUCUUCGGGUACCUAUCGAAGCUAACGCCUGCGGUUUCGUCUGGCCGUAGCGGAUUAGCGUUAGUUUCGAGGACCCCUUUCCCAGUGUGGGAAGGGGCAGAUUUAAAGAGUCGCUGGCUCUCGUCCGAAUAAAGAGAGCGAUCUCGCUUCGAACUCGCGAAAUUUUCGAAUCUCGUCGUUAGUAGAAUAGACAACGGGUGUUUCGAAGGGGUUCGUCGUUCGGGAUCCUGGGUUCGCCCGGGUGACCGCCCGAAACAAAAAUAUUCUCAAAUAUAAUGGUAUAAGAAAGAAAGAAUCUAAUAGAUUCCAUCAUUCUAAGCGG